rnacentral:rRNA from 1 species
AUUGAACGCUGGCGGCAGGCCUAACACAUGCAAGUCGAACGGUAACAGGAAGAAGCUUGCUUCUUUGCUGACGAGUGGCGGACGGGUGAGUAAUGUCUGGGAAACUGCCUGAUGGAGGGGGAUAACUACUGGAAACGGUAGCUAAUACCGCAUAACGUCGCAAGACCAAAGAGGGGGACCUUCGGGCCUCUUGCCAUCGGAUGUGCCCAGAUGGGAUUAGCUAGUAGGUGGGGUAACGGCUCACCUAGGCGACGAUCCCUAGCUGGUCUGAGAGGAUGACCAGCCACACUGGAACUGAGACACGGUCCAGACUCCUACAGGAGGCAGCAGUGGGGAAUAUUACACAAUGGGCGCAAGCCUGAUGCAGCCAUGCCGCGUGUAUGAAGAAGGCCUUCGGGUUGUAAAGUACUUUCAGCGGGGAGGAAGGGAGUAAAGUUAAUACCUUUGCUCAUUGACGUUACCCGCAGAAGAAGCACCGGCUAACUCCGUG